UCAAUCUGGAGAGACUCAGACAGAGAAAAUGAACAGCGAUUAAAAAGGUUUAUUGACAGACAUGAAUUUAAAGUUCUUUGGCGCUCGGGCCCCGGCUGUGGUCAUCAAGCUGUGAUUGCAAUAAGCUCGGAUGAGCAUUCCCGAUGUAGGAUAGGAAUGUCAUCCCCCCGGGACCCGACCCUGGUGGUGGAGGUCGGAGAAGGAUGCGAGCUUGAGGAUCCGGGCGAGGGAAGGUGGAGGGGUGGAGGAGGGUUGAGCGCGGUUGGGAUGCGGAAGACGCCAUGGAUGGAGGUCCUUUUCAGCUGGGCCUUGGAAGGCGAUUGGACGUGACGUGGCUUGGUCCAGCGUUGAUAGGACAGCGGUGAUGGGCGGGAUGCUCCGAUAGGACGAGCCAGGUGGGGCUAAAGAGUCUUCCAGUUUGAAUUUGCGCCCAGGCUUCAU